GCUCCAGCCGCGGGGGCGGCGGCCGUCUCCCCCUCCCCCUCCUGCCUCCUCAGUGCCCCCCCCUUCCGAAACUGCGGGGGGACACUCCCCCCUUCCCUCCCUUCCCCCAGCCUGGCCCGCGCAUCCCAGCCCCUGACGCGGCUGCAGAUAACGGGGCCGGGAGGGCUGCUCCCGCCGCGCUGGACGCACCCGGAGCCGCAACCCCCUUGGAAAGGGACGCGCUGGGCUCUGGGGAAAUGCUGCUGCUGGUGGUGUUGGGGGGUUCCUUGACUGGGGGAAGUUAGCGUGCGGUACUUAACCGCCACCCCCUUCUCAGGCUGCAUAGGUGCCCCCCCAACCCCCGCUGAGCCUGAGCUCCGGGGGUGGGAGCUUGCGCCCACCCUGCAGGCACAGGUCCCCAAAGCGAAUGGCUAGCCAAACAGCCUGGGUGCAGUGUAAGCUGUUCCGAGGAAAGACAGGAAUGGGAAACCUGUCAUUGCGCUGGGUGCACUCUUUGGCUUCCUUACCAGAGGCAAAUACUGAAGUCUAGAGGACAGGGCAGCCACUUAAAAGAUGGACCCAUUUUUUUUUUCACUUUAAAGGCUGUAUUAUUUAACAUAAUGCGUCUUUGGGGGGAGGUGCUGGAGAGACAAAUAAAAAGUGUAGUUGUGGAAAUUGUUUUGAGACCCUUCCGCAUCCUCCACCCCCUCCUAAAUUAUUUUAUUCCUCUGUUGACCCAAGGCAUGCAUAGCAAAGCAUUCUUUUUCCCUAAACCCUUCCCCCCUUCUCUCCCUCUCUCCUCUUCCUUUUCUCGUUUCCUUCUGUCUUUGACCCCUCUUUCCCCCUCCUCCCUCACCUCUUCUCACUUGUCUAUCUUUCCUCAAACAACUGGACCUAAGUGGCACGAGUUCCAGAAGGCCAGCAUUGAGGGGUAAGGGUCUUGGAAGUAAUGGCACCAGGCAUAGAAGCAUCCUGCUUGUUAAAUAUUUGUUAAAUUGUAGCCAGGAGAGUUGGCGAUGCACUGCUGUGGGCUAUGCGGACUGCGGUUUGAGGGUCUGAAAUAAGCCUCAUUCUGAUCUUAGAGUGUGAAACUCUUGCAGUUUUAAUCCACUUAGAGUGGAUGAGGAAACAUGAUAGCAGCUGUUAAAAGAGCCAGGCAAGUUUAAAUGUCUGAAUUUUGUUCCUGAUCUAACUGCAGUUAGAUAAUCAUCUAAGGGGGAAAAUGAAAGCUCUUCAGAGUUUGAAUUUUGGUUGAUUUUGUGUGCAUUCCGUUGAAUCUAAUUGCAGGAAGAGAUGAUCUUGUUACUGGAUUGUUUUAAGUAAACAGUUCAUUAGAUUGAAAGUUUUUAAAGGACCCCAAACUACCAAGUUGACAAAGGUGAUUUUAUGGUUAUAGGUAUAGGUCCUGAGGCAUAUAUGAAUUGAUUUCAUGGAAUUUAGUGUUAAAGAGGUCAAGUUAGAAUGGUGACUUCCUUUUAUAAGCUGAGGGUUUGAGAUAGAACUUAAUCCAUUUUAGCCUGACAACUCCUUUUCUGUUAUAGGUGCAAGAUGUCACAGCCUAGAACAGAAAAUAGAUCAUUACUUUCCGGUUUCUUCAUGAAAAAAUUUCUUCAGUAAUGAAUAUCAUUUCCAGACUCUGUAAAUAUAGCAUUUUUGGUGACUGAUGCCAGAGUAGUAUUUUGGUGGAUGUGUUGGAUUGAAGUUUCUAUUCAUGAGUUUCUAGAAUUUACGCAGACUAUAUUGUGGUUUUGAUUGUUGAUAGAACUCUCUUUCGUAGAGAUUCUUUUUUAUGGUUGAGGCUGACAGUGAGUUGACUUGGUAAACUUGGUAAAAUAGUAGUUUUACUUUGUACUUUGAAGCACUGUUGUUUCAUCUCUUGAGAUGCCUUCAAUUGAAACUCUAGUGUUCUAGAGAAACAUUGUAACAAUAUUUAUAGCAACUGUGUCUCAAUGCCUUAUAUUGUUACUUUAUAUUCAUGUGACUGAUACAUUUAUCUUGUAGUUGUAAGAAAAAUCAACUUGAAAAAGUUGGACAGAUUUUGGGGUUUCUAGCAAGACAGCCUAAGAGAUUUGCUUUUGAGGAUCCAAUAUUGCAUGAUGUAAUUGAAAAAAAUAAUUUUAGUUAUACUUAUGCAUUAAGGACAAUCAGAUUUUAAAAGAUGUUCAGUGUAUCUACUAUGCAAGAUAAAAAAGUUGUGAUGAAAACUAACAUUUCUUUAUGUGGAACAUCUAUUUUGAAAAUUUGGCAUUGACAUAGGAAGAGUUUUUGUGGCAUAAAAAAAUGAAAAUAGAGUGACGUACAUUUGAAAUAGAAAAAUUUAUGUGAGUGGACAAAGACCUGUAGGAUAUUUUAUAUUAAGAGUAGCUAGUUUUUGUGAGCUAGUAUGUUUUAAAUUGCAUUAAGAUGAGAAAUGUUAACAGAAUGAAUAAUAGAAUCAGAAUAAAGUUGUCAGUUUAUAGGAACAAUAACUGAAAAAACAAUAGGGAGAAAAAGAUUCAAUAAGUAGUUAUUACAUAAUUGAUAGUGAUAGAAAAUAUGUUUAGAUGAAUAGUGUUUUUUUUUUUUAAGUUAAUCUAGCUUGAUAUUUUAGCUUUACUGAUCAUGUCCAUUUGGACUGCUAAAGCAAAUUGCAUGUUUGUUUUUCUGCUAUCUAGAGGCAUCCUGGUAAAAAGUUUUUUAUACCUGAACCCUUGUGACAUCUUUGCCAAUUAGUUUUAAAGUCAUUAUGAAGGGUUUUCUAGCCCUAAAAUUCUUUGUAUAACUUGAUAGCUGUAGGCAUUGUAGUAUACUAGAUUCCUUAGAAUACAGAUCCCUAUCUGUCUUGCUAUUUUGAAAAGUUGCAUGGUUACUUGAUGUAAUCCUACAACUUCAUUAUCUUUAGGAAAAUUUGUAAGUCAUUAAAGGUAGGGUAAGGAAUACUUGGGAAAUUGAGGUAGAUGCAUAUGAGAACAGAACAGUGAUAGUUUAUUAAAUCAGAAACAGUUUGAAAUGUAAAAGUUGGAAUAAAAAUGUAUUUAAACUUCAUUUUAUAGCAAGAAUAAAUACAGCAUCAAGUUUUCUUUGUAUGUAAUUGCUUUCUGUUUUAAAGUAUCCAUCAAAGAAAAGAUCCAUGCUAAUGUUCAAGUAGUUUAAGUAGAGAAUAUAUGAUUAAAAACCCAAAGCUAAAGACAAUUUGUGAUUUGAAUGUAUAGUAAAUGAUCUGGGAAUUGAAAAUGUGUUUUAAUAGCAUGUGAAACAUGAAUGCAGCAAUAAGAAUGAAAUCUGAGAGCUGUCUUAAAGACAGGUUUAAAAUAUAUUUGUAUUCAAGGUAAUCUGAGGUACUUAGUAAUUGGAAUUUUAAUGAGGGUGAUUAAACAAAGGGAAGAAAUCCAUUGGUGGUAGAUAUUUUGAAAUUUUGACAUACAACUUAGAACAAUAAAAACAAGGCAAUAUUUAGAAAUAGUUAAAAAUAUAGGGAAUUUUUGUUUACUAAUAUUUGCUUCAUUUUUAUUGAAUAUCUUUUCAUUUCCAUUACUUUGUGUUGGGCAUUAUAAAAAUGUGAGCAGAAUGUGAAGAUUUUAGAGAACUAUAAUAACCAUUACUGCUGUCUAUGGGGGAAAAAAAAACUAGUCUUAUGUAAAAGAUGGGAGGAAACAGAGUGAAAAAUGGUUAUAAUAAAACAUUUGGACUAACUGGUUUCUGAGGCUGAAUUUGAACUCAUCCUUCUCUCUCCAGGUAGUCUAGCGCUAUAUUCACUAUGCCAUCUAGCUACUUCAUCAAAAGAUUUCAUGCAGUAUACCUACUUGUUUAGAUCAAGAAAAGCCUACUUAAUACUUCAUUGAGUGCCAGGACUUGAGUUAUACCAGAAAAUUCAACGAAUAAGGAUAUCGUAACCCAAACUUUUCAUUUGAUUGAAGCUUCAUUGAGCAUGUUGCUACUUUCCUAGCCAUUCAGAAUUUAAAGAUAAAAGGACAAAUACUCAUUGGCAAGACUUUCCUUAGUCGCUUCUCAAGGCAGUAUGGUUGGCACAGUGGAAAGAAUGCAGGAUUUGACAUCAGAAAACCUGGCUUUAACAUGUUGAUUCUACUUCUUGACUACCUCCGAGUGUCAGUCUCUCAUCUUUAAAAGAAGGGGGCUAGAUUACAAGAUCUACAAAGUCUCUUUCAGUUCAUGAUAUUAUGACGUAAUCAUUAUUAAAAAUCCUCAGAUCUCAUGUAGAUUCGAGAAUCUUAAGUGAAUUUGGAAAACUAUUGCCAUAUAAUUCCAAACUCUGAUGUAGCAAAUAUGAGAGAACAUUAGUAAUAAUUUCUCACGAUGCUUAUUUAUGUAGUUUGGAAUAAUUUGACCCUAGAAUAUUUAGUAGCCUUAUAGAAAUGGAUUUUCAAACUUGAAAGAAGAUAACAGUUUAACCUGAUGUAAUGGAAAAACCAGUGGACUUAGAGUAAGUUUACUUGAGAUGAGUUAUUUUUCUGCCAAUUUUCAACCUCUCUGAGUUGCCUGCUCCCCACUCGCCAUCCCCAUCUCUUUUCUUGUGACCACGAAUCUAAAAACAUUAAGGAACCUUAGAGACAUUUGGUCUAAUCAUCUCAUUCCACAAUUGAAGAAAUUGAAUCUUAGAAAUUAAGACCACUUCCCAGCUGUGUGACCCUGGGCAAGUCACUUGACCCUCAUUGCCUAGCCCUUACCACUCUUCUGCCUUGGAGCCAAUACACAGUAUUGACUCCAAGACGGAAGGUAAGGGUUUUAAAAAAAAGAAAGAAAGAAAGAAAUUAAGAGAUUUAUCCAAGGUUAUGUAGAUACUAAGUAUCAAGAGUCUGGUUUUGAAUCCAGAUCCUCUCAAUCAACUGAGCACUGUUAUUCCUCUGAGGGAAACACUUUGUUAAAGUUGUAGUGCUAUAUAAGUGCUCAUUACUUUUAUUUGAUAUAAUUUAAAUUAAUGAUAUUGGAAAAUAAAAGCACUUACUCAAAUUAGAUUAUAGUAAGGUGAAAAGUGGAAGUUGCCCUGAGAGGUAGUGUGAUAUAGUAGAAAGAACACUCACACUCUGGAAUUAAAAGACCUGGGUUCAGAUCCCUCCUAUGAUACUUUCUAGUGGGUAAGCCCCCAAACCUCUCUGGGUUUUAGCUUCAUCAUCCAUAAAUGAGAUUAUAUUAGAUGUUUUUAGGGGUCCCUUCUUGUUCGUCAUCUAUGAUUUGCAUUCAUUCAGUGAAUAUUUAUUUGUUGAGGUGUUCUUAUGUAUAAGGUUCUUUAACUAGUUGCACUACGAGAUUCAAAAUUAUACAAGAUUUGAUCCUGGAGAGAAUAAUAGUCUGGAAGCAGGGAGACUAGCAUACUAAUAAUAAUUUAGAGAUAAAGGACAGGGACCCUGAAAUAUUGUGGUUGUAGGAAUGGGACAGAAGCAAAAUAAAUUCAUAAGAAAUAGUGGACAGAUCUUCGUGAUUGGAGAAGGAAAAAUUAUUCUUAAAUUGAACAUCAGUGACUAGGAAAUGAUAGUGCCAUUAACAGAAACAGGAAAGUCAGAAGGAAAAGCUGACUUUAAGAGGAAUGGGGUACUAUUUAGGGGCAACUUAUUGAAUUCAGGGUUUUGGUGCAUUUGGUUGGAAAUGAUUAUUAAAGACCUAGAAUUGAGAAAAUUGAAGUACUGGAGAGCAGAGUUGGAGACAAAGAUUUAGAAAUUUUCUACCUUAGUCAUAAUAGUUGACACUGUGGGAGAGAGAAGGAUAGAGAGGUUCGGAACACUACCCUAAUUUUCUGCCAUUGUUUAUAAAUAUUUCUAUACUUCAAUAUUUGGAAUUAUAAGACCUGAGUUUGAAUCUAGCUCUGUCACUAUUAUCUAUGUGAAUAUAGGAAAAUCACUUCACCUCUCUGGCCUCUUGUUUUCUUAUCUACAAAAUUAGUUUAAUUCUGAGGUCCCCUCCAGCCCUAAAAUCCUUUCAUUAAUUAAUUUGACAAUUAUUUAUUAAGCUUCCAUUUUUUACCAGGAAAUAAAAUGGGUACUGUGAAUAGAAAGACAAGAAAUGAAGCAGAAGUGCCCUCAAAGGAACUUUGGAUAGGGAUUUGGAGUCUCAAUUGAUGCCCCUUACCAACCAGGAAGUAUUAGUCCUUUUAGAAAAAGACCCAUAGAUUUCUGGUCUAGCUUAAUUUCAGUUAAAAAAUGACAGUUUCUGUUUUGAACCAUUUUGAAGAGAUGUAGGGGGUGGGAGGAGACUAAUAAGAAUUUACAAAGUAUCUGGACUUUUUCAGGGCAAUCUUUUCAGCAUAAACAUGUAGAGCUGUCAGAAUGACUUCUAGACAUUGC